GGGGCAGGCCGGUGAGCGGAGCGGUCGCAGGGGAAAUCAGCUUAUUAAGCCUGUCAAACCACGAUCUUGGGUACUUACAUCACCCAAAACUGUGACCCUCGAUGGAAAGGGGCCAUCGGAACCAGGGAGAGGCUUGCUCCUGAAGUUCUAGUUCCCCGGGGGGGAGAUCUCUGGUAUGACCAGCGGGACCUUCCUGGCGGUGAGUGGAGUGGAUGGCCGCCGCUCCACUAUCCUGCCAAACGUAGCCCGACAACCACACUGCAUCUGUGUGGACCCGGUCCCCCCCCCUCUGGGCCGGGGGGUGAUCCAGGUCCUCACCCCAUAGCCAUACCCGGAGGCCAUAUCACACCAGGCCAUGGCGUAGGCCCGAAUCCAAGAUGGCAGAAGAGCUGACCCACAGAGCCCAGAACGGACCACUGAUC